AAGGUGCAAUGGGCUAGGCAGUAGCAAGAGUACAUCUAGCAGCCCUGUGUGCUUUUGAUGGGGAAGAAAAACGCAGGACGAGAACACUGGCAGUACAACUGCCGCAGUGUGGGAUUUUGCAGCUCUAGGUGCUCACCGGGCAGAGUCCCAUCCUAACCAUUUCAGGAUCGUGAUGAGUCCCCGAGCUCUGCCGACUGCCCACUGUGAAUGAAUAUUACUUCUGUCUGAGGAGACAGAGUCUCGGGCGUCACGGAACUUAAACUCAGCGAGGCCUGGUGAGUUGUUCCUCAGAGGUUUCUUCUUCCCUGGAGACUGACAGGGAAUGAUGCAUCCGCCAGAGCCAUCCGUCUCAGCUGGUACACAGGCAGAAUGGCCAGCAGCCUGUGCAGGGAAUGCCAAUGGAGAUACAGAUCCUAUCAGCUGCUUGUCUGCUUCCGUCGCACCUGAACCGCUGACUUCCGUGCGGCCUUCAUCUUCAAGAGUCAAAAUGACAUGAUGCUUCAGAAGUUUGGGUUGUCUGCAUGCUUAUCUCCUCUGAACCACAUGGAACAAGCCUCUAGCAAGGAUCAAAACAACAUGUGUAUGAUAGAUAUACACAGAUUUUUGACAAUGAAAGAUAAAAUGUUAGCAUAGUAUGUGUAUGUGGGGGGGGGUGUGACGCUGGGGCGUCUAAAGGGAAAUCUACAGUUAUAAAAGAGGACACUCUGCUAGUUGUGAUAGCACAAGCUUUUGGGAGAUGGUAAAAAAAAAAAAAAGGCAGAGGCUGGAGGGUACAGCCAGCCUGGGCUACACCUUUAGCUGAGGAUGUAGCUCAGUGGCUGAACGCUUGCCUAGAACAUGUGGAGCCCUGAGUACAGUCCUUAACAGCACCAUAAAACACUAAGAAGCAAAGAGGCCUCUCCCCUCCUCUUUGCCCACAGGACUCACUUGUCAUGGGUACAUUUCGGCCUUGGCCUGGUCUGUGAUGCUGUAUGACAUGGUCCAUCUUGUGUGUAAUAGCCUAGCUAGGAGUAGCUAGGACUUGCCAGCGUUACAGGCCACAAGAAGUGUAGAAUGACGGCUGUGGAGGUGACAUUUCAGAUGGUGAGAAGGUUCUUCCCAGGCGCCUUUCACUGCAGCUUUGAGGGUGUUUAGGGGAAUAUUGUAGCUUGUCCCUUCUUUCCUGCUUCUUCCUUCCUACUUCUUGUUCUUGAGAAAAUAGCUAAACAAUCUGUAGUCUCUUAUCCAAGGUAAAAUUUUGACUUAGCUGUUUUUGAUUUUUAGAGAAAAGGAUGGAUGUAAGGAACCUAAUACACAGGAGAGAAAAAUUUUAAAAGGCCAUCAGCAGCAGUCUGGGUGAGUGGACGUGUCUGUGUACAUGUUGUGUGUGUGUGUGUGUGUGUGUGUGUGUGUGUGUGUGUGUGUUCCAUAUGUCAGGUAUCCCUGCUGAUGCUUAGGUAUAGGGAAAACACGGGCCCAAGCAUCUCAACUCUACAAUUUAUGAAAAGCCCAGUGCCCUUCCCAAGGACAGCCUGAUUCUUUGUUAGAGAUGCUGCUUUGACUAAGAUGUUUUAUUGGUAGCAUCCCUGGCCCCACACGUGAUAAACCAGGCCCAUACCUUGCUAAACCACCCACGGAUUCAGUCACCAACCAAGGUGCCCUACCCACAGUCCUCAGAUAUGAAAUCAAUUUUAUUAAAGUGUUGUGAGAGGCAAUGGAAUGUUGUAUCACAGCAAUGAAUACAAUUGUGUGUAUUUAUGCAUGUGUUUGUGCAUGUAUGCCUGUGUGAGUACAUGUCCAUAUGAGUAUACAUACACACGUUUGUGUUUAUGCCUGCAAAAGCCAGAAGUCAACCUUAGGUGUCUUUUCUCAAUGGUCAUCCACCUUGUCUUUUGAUGCAGUGUCUCCCAUUGUUCUGGGGCUCACUGCGUGGCUAAACUAGCUGGCCAGCAAGCCUGGGAGAUCCUCCUGUCUGCUCCACUAGCCCUGUAAUUAUUAGUGUUCAUCCCCACUGCCAGUGUUGCUAUGUGGGUGCUGGGGAUUCAACUCAGGUCCUUGUGCUUGCCUGGCAAGCUCUUUACUGGCUGAGCCAUCACCCCAGCCUUGGUAAUUGCCUGCCUUAUGGCUGAAGAACAUUUCGUGGUGAAUAGAUACAGCUUUGAAGCGAAACAAUCCCCUUUCUUCUCACUAUCCUGCGGCCUCUCCUUUGGGCUGCUCUUUCAGCUGCUCCUUUUUCUCUUUCCCAUCCUCAUUCCAUUCCAGGAGCUUUUUAAGAAUACCUUUAGAUUUUUAAACAUGUUGGAGAGUUUUCUUAUAUCCUGGAGAACAACCAUGCAUCCCCAUCACAACCUGUGCAAUGGACUUACUCUACCCCUAUUCCUCACUCUGAGACUCAGCAACCAAUGCCAUCGCUAAUCUGAGACAGAGGAGGCCCUGACGCUCAGGUAUGACCGGGCCAACCCUGACUUCAUGGUGAUGGGCCGAAAAACUCAUAGCUGAGCCCUUCAGCUAUUAAUGUCACAGGUUAUUGCCAAAGUCUCUGUACGUAUUCACACUUUUCAAAGUUGUCCAACUAUAGUUUCUUCCAGGUAAAAUAAUUAAAUGAGGUAUCUCAACCUGCUGCAAAGGAUGACGGUCAGAGUUCCAUUACCAGAACCCACUUAAAAACAUAGCCCAUAUUCCUAAGGGUCAGGGACCAGCAAGGAAGAGGGAGCAGGACGAUUAUAAAAGCCAAAGGACCAGGGAGCUUCCCAAAGGAUUGGUGUCUUCUAGCUAUGACAGAGAAGGUACACCCAUGAAACCUCUGUGUGCUAAAUGAUAACAACACCGAGUGAUAUACCAAAGGGGAUGAGGGAAAUCUUACCCCUACAUAAAGAGCUAUAGGAAUUAACAACUGCACAGAGAGGAAGAAUUAGUCUUUCUCAAGGAUAAACUCCUAAUUGAUUAUCCAAUAGCAAACAGUCAGCUCUAAAAGUGUAUAUCAAGCAACACUAAGCAGACUCAGCAAGCAGAUGCUUGUAUAUUUAUGAACAUAUGUGUGUGUGUGUGAUAAUAAUUGAGGAGCAAAGGCCUCGAGUUUAAGAGGGAGC